UUAACUUGUAGCAAGUAAGGAGGAAGAACAUAGAUUUUUCCUUUCCCUGUCGAGUUUUGACAUCCUUAAAGAUGGCACUGAGCCCUCCCAUGUGCGCUAUGAAAAUGAUGAGAACGAUUUCCAAGGCUAUGAGCGGCGUCUGAUGAGAGAAGCAACAGAGAGGAACCUCAGAAUUAAACUGAUUGGUAAACUAAUUCAAGCCUUAGGAUUUAUAUGCCUUUUUUUUUUUUUUUUCCACCUCAAUAAUAUCUGACCCUUAAUUAUUUUAACAAAAUGCUGUUUUUUUUUUCCCUAAAUAACAUCUGACCCUUAAUUAUUUUAACAAACUGCUGUUUUUAUGUUGCACUAAACAAGGCAGAGAAUCUCUAGAGAUAAACUGCAGCUCUGUCCUCUGUCAGCCUGAAUUCAGAACUGUUGAGG
ensembl:lncRNA